UACGAAGGGUGCAAGCGUUACUCGGAAUUACUGGGCGUAAAGCGUGCGUAGGUGGUGAGUUAAGUCUGUCGUGAAAGCCCCGGGCUCAACCUGGGAAUGGCGAUGGAUACUGGCUCGCUAGAGUGCGGUAGAGGAGAGUGGAAUUCCCGGUGUAGCAGUGAAAUGCGUAGAGAUCGGGAGGAACAUCAGUUGCGAAGGCGGCUCUCUGGACCGGCACUGACACUGAGGCACGAAAGCGUGGGGAGCAAACAGG
rnacentral:rRNA from 1 species